rnacentral:lncRNA from 1 species
AAAAUUAUAUUAAAAUUCGGAGGAAAAUUUUCCUUUAGGUAGGUGCAGAACUAGGGGCCUUUUGUAUUUGAAAACUUGGGCCUUUGGAUUGUUCCAUAAAAAUUGGGCCUUUUGGGCUUGUGUCCAACAUUUGUUACUUAUCAGACCUUCAAUGGGCUUCAUGUUGAACCUAGUAGAACCUCGGCUCGGAAAACAUCGACGUGGGGGUUGCCCGGGGGGAUAUAUAUCUGAUUUUAAGAUUAUCAUUUAAGUCAUAAUUAUAAUAUAAAAAA